AUCUUCAACACAAAUACACCCGUUUCAUUGAGUAAAGUGCAUUUCAGAGCACAUGAACUGAGGACGACUACUACUAAAGUUGCAUAUGCAGAAAAUAUCAAAUAAGUAUCAAGUUGCACAAAAUAAGUUAUUUUUCAAAAUAAAAUACAUGUCAAACAUCAGAUGCUCAUUAAAAAUGUACUUUAUUUACCAGCUGUUUGCGACCCAUCUAAAACGUGUCUGCCACCCACGUUUGGGUUGGGACUCACCAGUUGAGAACCACUGGCUUAGACGACUGGUCUAAAAGUUUUUUAGACGUCUAAAUUUAGACCAAGUUUAGACCAAGUCUAACUCUGGGCUUUAUCUAUACUACACUGUAUAUUGCUCAACAGCUAUCAUAAUUAUUUUGGUUAAGUGCUUGGAGAUCAGUUAUUCAACUCACAGUUGCUUUUUGAAAGAAAUAGUUAUUGAAUAAUGGGCUAAAGUGCAACGCCUAAAAAUAUACAGAAUCUAGACGGUUGAAAUUAGGUCUAAAAAAAAAACUAGACGUCUAUUAGCUGUCUAUUGCUCAGUGGGAUGGUAGCUGAGGCCAGAUUUAGACAAAGGUUCUACCCCUGUUAGCUUUAAGAUUGACCUCCCUGCUCUUUGUCUUAUCUAAAGAUCCAGCAUCAUCAAAUAUGUGUUCCCAAAAAACCCAGGUCUCAGUAUUUUUAAUCUAGUAACACUCAAAAAGAGUGUUAUUUUGGGAGGAUGUUUGUCCAACUCUAAUAUGUCCUGUCACAUUUGCUGCUGAAUUGAAAUUUGGACAUGAAUUCACAUUCAAAGACUAGACCAGACCACAGAGCAGCAAACUGAUGUUGCAGGGAAAUGUUAAUGCUAUGAACCAUUUCAGCUCUUAUUCUGCUGACAGCGUGGCCGGGGACUCAGCUUGUUAAGUUGCCAGUGGUUUGAAACAUGCUUUUAAAAAAGUAUUUGACUUGUCAGCAGAUAAGAUACAAACUGUCUGCCAGUUAAAAUGGGCAAGUUCCAGUAGAGAAGAGAGGAUAACUUCAGCUGCAGACAGAAACUACUUCAUGAAAUGUUUUUUUUUAUUUUUUGCAAAAGUUUCAGAAAACUUUGGUCUGAACAUGAGUAAUCGGUACAUAGAUAUUGUGCUUAAAAAUAUUUCUAGUAAUUCCUACUGAAGGUAGAUUUUUACUUCAUUAAGGGUUAGUCUAGUGUGUUUUUCUCCCAGUGGUUUUACACUAUGGGGUCUUGAGUCAAAAUUUUGAGAUAAUCAUCGUGAUUAAAACGCUGGUUCUUCCAGCUCUCUUUCAGGGUAAAGCUUUCUGUCAACUUGACUCUAUUUUUAAAAGAAAGUAUUUUAGAGAAUAUGUUUCAAAUACUGGGAUGAUUUUCAGUAACAAGAACAGAGACUGUAUAUAGAAUGGACGCCGUCUGCCUUCUCGCUGGAUGAAGCCACUCCGAGAACAGAACACUCUCUUGAUGGGCUGCAGUAUAAGUCAUAAAUCCUGCCUCUGCCAGCCAUCCUUAUGGAGCUGUGGACACAUUUUAGAAAUUUAUCACACAGAAUAUAAAUUUUUCUCCCCCCUGCUUUUGAUGUUGACAUGUAGUUACUGUCAGACUGGUUUGUGCGCAAAUCCUUUUUUUUCUGUGCAGCUCCGUUUUUGAGAGUAAUUAGGGGGUUCAUGUUUUCUAUGAAUGACACUUGAUACAGCCUAUGGGUGUACAAUAGGGUGACCAUACGUCCACUUUUACCCGCACAUGUCCUCUUUUUGGGGGGCUGUCCGGGUUUAUCCAAGGAAGUUUAUAAGAACCUUCAACUGUCUGUGGUUUUGUUUCGAUUUUGUGUCACGUGGACUUCGUGAGUUAGAAGCGCGUAAAAGACACUCGCUCCAACCCGAAAAACUCUCAAAAUAAACUUUGUGUGACUCCGUAGUUGUAUCCUUUUUUUGGGAAGUCAGAAUAUUAUCACCCUAGCGUAUGAAGAUUGCGUAGCUCACCCAGGGGAUACGCUGUUUGAGCUGUGCAUCAUUAUAGUGUCUCUCGGCGACUCUCCAGCCAAAUGCGUACAAUGCUACUGCGCAAUGUUGGUUUCAGGAAGUGGAGAAAAGUUGUGGAAUUACUGAGAGUUUUUCGGCUUCAAAUCUGUAUACUGGCGGAAGGCGGAGCAAAGUUGUUAGUCUAUGAACAAGACGCUCUAUAAUGUUAGAAAUCAAACACCAGAGUUUCGACAGGAUGUUGAGCCUGUUCUGGUGUCUCAUUUCCUUCUUACAUACUCUGUACAGCAGCAGUCUGAAUCUUUUAAGGGCGUCUGCAGCAGGUUGACAUGGACCAUUACUUGCUGUCCUCACACUCCGUUAAUAACCCCUUCUCUAUCAUGAUUAAUGCCUUUAAAGUACAUUUUUAUGUGACUUUCAUACAGUACAUGCUGAUUUGUCCCCAUGACAACAUGGAUUUUUCAGGUAUUUUCUAUGGCAGAGAAAUGAUCUCGACGGGAAUGCUGAUUAUAUAUAUUUUAUAAGUCUUGGAACGACAGUGUGUCUCACCAAGCUGAAAAACUGUCAAGCAUCUAUAUGUAAGUGUGUCGCCUCUUGAUGUCAAAUUGUUUUAUGCAGUAACUUGAUGGAGUCAAGAGGAAUGAAGGCUUUUACUGAUCAAAGUGUCACAGCAAAAAGCAGGAUAAAAAAAUGAGAGCAAUCCUUGAGCCACGUUAUUAAUGUCACAGCAACAAGAGGGUGCAGAUUCAAUUUGCAUCCAAACCUCCAUUGAAGUUGGGCACCAUUUCUGCUUAGUGGUUAAAAUCCAUCACAUAAUGAGAGGUUACAGUGCUUGUAGCAGUGGUCACUGGCUCAACAUUCCCCUCUACAGCUGUCCUAUCAAAAUAAACAUAAAAACAGCCUUAACAACGUCAACACUUUCAAUGGUUUUGCAACUACAGGAGCCGCUUUGCUCUGAAAGAGUCGUGAUCCUGUCAGAAUUCAGUAGAACUUGAGUCCAUUGUUAGAAAAUCGAUUCUGAACCAUGAAUCAACCAUGUGACAACCAGAUAUUUUUAUGCUGUUAACAGUCAGUGUUGGAGGACUUCCAGCGUGUCUUGCUGAGUGGAAAUGAAAGAAAAGGCCAUUUUAUCAUUGAAAUGCACACACAUUUUUGAUGACAUUGGCCCUUAAUAGGAUUUAUGAGCUGAUAUAAGAGUUUCUGUGCAGCUGAUUUAAAAAAGAAAAACAUUAUGAAGGCUUUGUAAACAGCUAAAUCUAAAUGGACUGAAUUUGAUGUCCUAAAUGUAACCAGCUCCAGACUCUUGUCCAAGGUUAGGACACAGACAUGAGAGUGGUAUUAGUCUGCUCCUUGACUGCUAAGUAAGUGAAUAUACGUAUAUCUGAAAAAAUGUUGUCGUUUUUGUAAAGCUACUAGCCAAUAAUAUGACCUCAUCGUCAAGGUUGAAAGAAAAACAGAGCCAUCUAAAUACAACCUGACUGUGCUUCAAGUGUCCUCCUCUUCAAUGUAAACAGAUUUUAUGAACAUCCAUAACAUUUAUCAAACCGAAUUCAUUACCGAAUGUGUCAACAAGAAAAAUGGGUCCCUCUAUUCUUUCCAAAGUAAAUAAAGGGACAUUGACAAUUACAUUGUGUCAACAAAUGAAUCUGUAGGAUCAGUCAGCCAUUACACUGAUCCUGUUUUAUCAGCCGAUGGCCAAAGACUAAACAUUAGCUUUAUCACAAACACAGCAGGAUUAGAUGUAGAUGAUGCGAACUAUCAGUGGUGGUGUGGACUGCUGCAGUGUGUGACGCAGUGUGUGUCUGUUCGUGACCUUCCUACCCCUGCAUCCCUUAGCCCUGUCAUUUUCUUGUCAAUUAUCCUCUCACCCAGCUGUUUCAUUAUUGCUUCUAUUCAUAGAGCACAAAAAAAUAAAAUUAAAACGCUGUUUUUCUGUGUUAAGCCGGAAGGUUCAAUAUACUUAAAGUGGCUGCAGAAUGAACACUGUGCGCCUCAUUUAAUCUGUCUCUAUGGCAGCAGGUGUCUGAGGUGUGUGUGUGCGUUCAAUACAUGUAAAUAAAUGGUUCAUGCUCAGCUGUGAUGUAUAUAUAUGGUGUUAUUUAUCUUCUUUUAUUUUUACUUACAAUGUGUCUUCAGUGUAAUGGUUAUAAGUGUGAUAGUGUUGGAAAUGUACCCAUUAUGUGCCUCAAGAAUAACCAGUUGUGUAAAUAAGUGCUGAGCACAGAAAUGUUCACUUUAGCAACAAGAGACCAAAUUCAGAUUCCUGUUUUCACUGCACACAUCCCGCAGAAGCCAAGUCCAAGUGAUAAAGCUCAUAAAUACAGAUGGAUAAUUACCAACAGGCAGUGAGCCGCAGCGCCUGCAGCAAGCUGUCAGAGUUGACAAUACUUCCAGAGCUUGGCUGGGGCGUGUAGAGGUGAAAGCUUUUAAUUGGAGUAAUGACCCUUUCGUCUUAUAGAGUUCACUUAUACACAUUUAUCCAAUUAGCUCCUGACAUGUAGGAGGUAUGGAAAUCCUCCAGGGAUCCAGUUGAGAAGUAGGAGGAACUGUCAAGUGGUGGGGAUGGCAGUGUCAAAGCUCACUGUGCUCACUGGUGCGGCAGAAACAUAGUUACAGAUGGCAACUGAAAAGUGGGGCGCAGAUAGUGACAAGGGUUUAACUGACUGAAGUUAUGUACAAAUUUAAUGAAAAUAUAAAGAAAACAGGAAAUAAAAUGUACAAAUCACUUGACAAACAAAGCCCAAACCUCCCAAACAAAUGACAUUUCAAAGCA